UACGAAGGGGGCUAGCGUUGUUCGGAAUUACUGGGCGUAAAGGGCGCGCAGGCGGUCCUUCAAGUCAGGCGUGAAAGCCCCGGGCUCAACCUGGGAAUAGCGCUUGAGACUGAGGGACUUGAGUUCGGGAGAGGAGAGCGGAAUUCCCAGUGUAGAGGUGAAAUUCGUAGAUAUUGGGAAGAACACCGGUGGCGAAGGCGGCUCUCUGGACCGACACUGACGCUGAGGCGCGAAAGCAUGGGGAGCGAACAGG
rnacentral:rRNA from 1 species